rnacentral:rRNA from 1 species
AGUGAACGCUGGCGGUAGGCCUAACACAUGCAAGUCGAACGGCAGCACAGUAAGAGCUUGCUCUUACGGGUGGCGAGUGGCGUUCGUGUGAGGAAUACAUCGUAAUCUACUUUUUCGUGGGGGAUCACGUAGGGAAACUUACUCUAAUACCGCAUACGACCUACGGUUGAAAGCAGGGGAUCUUCGCACCUUGCGCGAUUGAAUGAGCCGAUGUCGGAUUAGCUAGUUGGCGGGGUAAAGGCCCACCCAGGCGACGAUCCGUAGCUGGUGUGAGUGGAUGAAGAGCCACAGUGGAACUGAGAGACGGCCCAGAGACCUAGGGGAGGCAGAGGUGGGGAAGAGUGGAAGAUGGGCGGAAGACUGAACCAGCCAUACAGGGUGGGUGAAGAAGGCCUGCGGGUUGGAAAGCCCUUUUGGGGGGAAAGAAAGGCAGCAGGUUAAUACCCCGGUGUUCUGACGGUACCCAAAGAAUAAGCACCGGCAAACUUCGG